rnacentral:rRNA from 1 species
AUAUACGCUAUUAGAGCUGGAGUUACCGCGGCUGCUGGCACCAGACUUGCCCUCUAAUUGCUAAUCGUUAAAGGAUUUAAAGUGUACUCAUUCCGAUUACGGGGCCUCGGAUGAGUCCCGUAUCGUUAUUUUUCGUCACUACCUCCCCGUGCCGGGAGUGGGUAAUUUGCGCGCCUGCUGCCUUCCUUGGAUGUGGUAGCCGUUUCUCAGGCUCCCUCUCCGGAAUCGAACCCUGAUUCCCCGUUACCCGUUACAACCAUGGUAGGCGCAGAACCUACCAUCGACAGUUGAUAAGGCAGACAUUUGAAAGAUGCGUCGCCGGUGCGAGACCGUGCGAUCAGCAAAAAGUUAUUCAGAAUCACCAAACAGUGCGACGAACAAUAACGCCGAAACGCUACUGCCGCCGAUUGGUUUUGAUCUAAUAAAAGCACUCCUUCCGUCUCCGGUUGGAGCUCUGUUUGCAUGUAUUAGCUCUAGAAUUACCACAGUUAUCCAAGUAAAUGUGGGUACGAUCUAAGGAACCAUAACUGAUUUAAUGAGCCUUUCGCGGUUUCACCUUAAUUUGGCUUGUACUGAGACAUGCAUGGCUUAAUCUUUGAGACAAGCAUAUGACUACUGGCAGGAUC